GCCCAARACAUCUAGCCUCGCCACACCCAUAAGGGCCUUCAGCAGUGAUUAACAUUAAAAAUAAACGUCAGUUCGAUUUAGUUAAUGAAAAAARAGCCGGCUAAUCUGGUGCCAGCCGCCGCGGUUACACCAAAUGACUCAAAUUGAAAUACUCGGCGUAAAGUGUGAUUUAARAAAACAGUUUCUGAGGUUAAACUUGAACUAAGCUGUAAUACGCCKGUUCUUAAAAAAACCACACCGAAAGAUGCCUCAACCCACCAACUUGAAUUCACGACACCCGGGGCACAAACUAGGAUUAGAUACCCUACUAUGCCCGGCUAUAAACUUUAACUUACCCCCCCAUCGCCGGGGAACUACAAGCAAAGCUWAAAACCCAAAGGACUUGACGGUACCCCACAUCCCCCUAGAGGAGCCUGUCCUAUAACCGAUACCCCCCGUUCAACCCUACCAUUCUAAGUUUCUCAGCCKGUAUACUUCCGUCCCCAGCUCACCGCAGGAGCGAAACUAAGUGAGCUAAAUGUUUACCACCAAUACUCA
rnacentral:rRNA from 1 species